CAACGUAGGGGUCAGAUAGAAAAAAAAUGUAGGGGUCAGAUAGAAAAAAAAUGUAAGGCCCAUCAACAAGGGCCCGGAUCAUUUCAACUUGGCCAGUGAGUAUGAAAACGAAUUGAGGGAGAUACAAGAACAAAAUGCUUGGGCCAAAGGCCCAAGCUUCCAAAAAAUGCCACUGGGUCACACAAAAACCGGUCCAGCCAAAAAGACUCCAAGAUCCAAAACCUAUUUCGUCUCCUCCAACUGAAACGCGAGAGCAAAAAGGAAACCCGGCCGCGAAACUGGAAGCUCGGCGGAAACGGAGCUGCGAAAUCCGGACCUCAGCCAUGAGACCUCCAGCUCCCUAAAUCAACGGUCGAACACGAGCCAAUUUCUUUAUCCAUGAAGAAGAAAACUCGAUCAAAUCUGCGUCCAUCCUCACUAUCACAAUUAGAAUUCCGAAUCGUGCGCAAAGUAGAAGUAGUUAAAGAACGAAUAACGUACCGGAUACGGCGCAACCUCCAGGUGAUUCUUCUUGGAUCUUCCUCCUUGUGUCUUCCUGUAUGUUUCUCCAUUUUUCUUCUCAGUCUUCUGCGUGCGAUCCUGUUAUUCUUAUGGAUUCGUAAUGUUGUUUUGAAUUCUGGAUGAGUGAGUUGGUGAUGGAGAUGUCUAUUGAAUCGAAGGUUGGUUGUGGAUUCUUGUUGAGUGUGGAUUGAAGGUUCAAUAUGGAUUGAAGGUGAGGAACUCGGUUCCAAAUUUGAGGGUUGUUAUGAGAGUUGUUGUGUGAGUCGAGGUUGAAGCGACGGUUCUGCGAGCAUUCGGUUAUGGAAGUUUGUUGCAGGGAUUGCAGAAGAAGCUUGGUUGAAGGUUUUGCAAAAUGAAGAAGAUAGAAGGUGACUAAAAUGGAACGAGAGACUCGUCUGAAAUUUGAAGGUGCCAUUGCAGCUUGUUCUCGCGUUGCCGUUUGGACUUGGAGUGUUGCACCUGCGUUUUCUACUAUACUUCUGCGUUUUUCCUGCUAUGUUGUUGCGUUUUUAAUUUUGCUGCACUGUCAUGGGCUUUGGUCUCAAUUGGAUGUGGUUACUAGUAUGGACAUGGACCUGGCUUAGUUGGAUACUUGGUUUUGUAUGGAUUUAAGUAUUGGAUAUGGAUUUUGAAUUGUUUUUGUA